AUACGGAGGAUCCGAGCGUUAUCCGGAUUUAUUGGGUUUAAAGGGUGCGUAGGCGGCCUUUUAAGUCAGCGGUGAAAGUCUGUGGCUCAACCAUAGAAUUGCCGUUGAAACUGGGAGGCUUGAGUAUGUUUGAGGCAGGCGGAAUGCGUGGUGUAGCGGUGAAAUGCUUAGAUAUCACGCAGAACCCCGAUUGCGAAGGCAGCCUGCAAAGCCAUGACUGACGCUGAUGCACGAAAGCGUGGGGAUCAAACAGGAUUAGAUACCCUGGUAGUCCACGCAGUAAACGAUGAUCACUAGCUGUUUGCGAUACACUGUAAGCGGCACAGCGAAAGCGUUAAGUGAUCCACCUGGGGAGUACGCCGGCAACGGUGAAACUCAAAUGAAUUGACGGG
rnacentral:rRNA from 1 species